rnacentral:misc_RNA from 1 species
GAUGAAGAACGUAGCGAAAUGCGAUAAGUAAUGUGAAUUGCAGAAUUUAGUGAAUCAUCGAAUCUUUGAACGCACAUUGCGCCCGCCAGCACUCUGGCGGGCAUGCCUGUCCGAGCGUCAUUUCAACCCUCAGGGCCCCUUCGGGGGACCUGGCGUUGGGGAUCGGCCCGCCCCCGUGCGGCGCCGUCCCCGAAAUAUAGUGGCGGUCUCGCUGCAGCCUCCCCUGCGUAGUAGCACACCUCGCACUGGAGAGUGGCGCGGCCACGCCGUGAAACCCCCAACUUCUGAAUGUUGACCUCGGAUCAGGUAGGAAUACCCGCUGAACUUAAGCAUAUCAAUAAGCGGAGGA